UGGGGAAUUUUGGACAAUGGGCGAAAGCCUGAUCCAGCAAUGCCGCGUGUGUGAAGAAGGCCUUCGGGUUGUAAAGCACUUUUGUCCGGAAAGAAAUCCUUGGCUCUAAUACAGUCGGGGGAUGACGGUACCGGAAGAAUAAGCACCGGCUAACUACGUGCCAGCAGCCGCGGUAAUACGUAGGGUGCAAGCGUUAAUCGGAAUUACUGGGCGUAAAGCGUGCGCAGGCGGUUUGCUAAGACCGAUGUGAAAUCCCCGGGCUCAACCUGGGAACUGCAUUGGUGACUGGCAGGCUAGAGUAUGGCAGAGGGGGGUUAGAAUUCCACGUGUAGCAGUGAAAUGCGUAGAGAUGUGGAGGAAUACCGAUGGCGAAGGCAGCCCCCUGGGCCAAUACUGACGCUCAUGCACGAAAGCGUGGGGAGCAAACAGGAUUAGAUACCCUGGUAGUCCACGCCCAUAAACGAUGUCAACUAGUUGUUGGGGACUUCAUUUCCUUAGUAACGUAGCUAACGCGUGAAGUUGACCGCCUGGGGAGUACGGUCGCAAGAUU
rnacentral:rRNA from 1 species